AUUGAACGCUGGCGGCAUGCCUUACACAUGCAAGUCGAACGGUAACAGGUCUUCGGAUGCUGACGAGUGGCGAACGGGUGAGUAAUACAUCGGAACGUGCCUAGUAGUGGGGGAUAACUACUCGAAAGAGUGGCUAAUACCGCAUGAGAUCUACGGAUGAAAGCAGGGGAUCGCAAGACCUUGUGCUACUAGAGCGGCCGAUGGCAGAUUAGGUAGUUGGUGGGAUAAAAGCUUACCAAGCCGACGAUCUGUAGCUGGUCUGAGAGGACGAUCAGCCACCCUGGGACUGAGACACGGCCCAGACUCCUACGGGAGGCAGCAGUGGGGAAUUUUGGACAAUGGGCGCAAGCCUGUUCCAGCAAUGCCGCGUGCAGGAUGAAGGCCUUCGGGUUGUAAACUGCUUUUGUACGGAACGAAAAGCCCUGGGUUAAUACCCUGGGGUCAUGACGGUACCGUAAGAAUAAGCACCGGCUAACUACGUGCCAGCCGCCGCUGUAACAC
rnacentral:rRNA from 1 species